UAGGGAAUAUUGCACAAUGGACGAAAGUCUGAUGCAGCAACGCCGCGUGCACGAUGAAGGUCUUCGGAUCGUAAAGUGCUUUUCUGGGAGAUGAGAAAGGACAGUAUCCCAGGAAUAAGUCUCGGCUAACUACGUGCCAGCAGCCGCGGUAAAACGUAGGAGGCAAGCGUUAUCCGGAUUCACUGGGCGUAAAGCGCGUGCAGGCGGUUCGGUAAGUUGGGCGUGAAAUCUCCCGGCUUAACUGGGAGAGGUCGUUCAAUACUACCGGACUAGAGAGCAGUAGAGGAAGAUGGAAUUCCCGGUGUAGUGGUGAAAUGCGUAGAUAUCGGGAGGAACACCAGUGGCGAAGGCGAUCUUCUGGACUGUGUCUGACGCUCAUACGCGAAAGCUAGGGUAGUAAACGGGAUUAGAGACCCCGGUAAUCCUAGCUGUAAACGAUGUCAACUUGGCGUCGGUGGCUUAAACACUAUCGGUGCCGAAGCAAACGCGAUAAGUUGACCGCCUGGGGACUAUGAUCGCAAGAUUAA
rnacentral:rRNA from 1 species